GAAAUGACAACUCAUUGCCCUUGGUAGUGUCCUUUAAGACUUGGUAGCUUUUUUUUUUUUUUUUCUCUCUACAAGAAAUGGAUGUGGGUUUUUUUUUCUAUUUUCAGUUGACACAUAAGUAGUCAGUGGAACUCAGGCUCAUGCCUCACUAGAGCAAGAAUAGAAUAGUUCUGCUGGGAGGAACUGUCAAAGAUCACCUAGUCCAAAUGCAAGGAUAUCUGGGCAAAUCAGCUCUUCUCAGCUUUUUCUCUGCUUCCCCUGCCUGCUGAAUGUCCUCUUGACACAGAAGCUUCAGAUAAAACCACAGACCAGGUUGAAUGUGAAAUGGGAUCUGUACAGUGAGCAAAACUGCUGGAUAAGUUGCUCUGAGGAGGUUAGUACCAGUAAGUACUACAGGUGGUAUAGGGGUAGCACUACUGCUGGAGGCAGAACAAUCUUGAGGGCACCUCCUCGAAGUGUACAGCAUCACAGGCACUUCCAUUAGAGCACCACUGUGUCCCCAGACAUCCUAGAGAUGUUUUAGAGAAAAGCUUUGUUAAAGAUUUCUGUUAAAGUGAGAGAAAUAAACUGUUUGGCUCUCUCA
rnacentral:lncRNA from 1 species